rnacentral:rRNA from 1 species
AGUGAACGCUGGCGGUAGGCCUAACACAUGCAAGUCGAACGGCAGCACCGUAAUAGCUUGCUCUUACGGGUGGCGAGUGGCGGGCGGGUGAGGUAUAUAUCGGACUCUACUUUUUCGUGGGGGUUAACGUAGGGAAACUUACGAUAAUACCGCAUACCACCUACGGGUGAAAGCAUGGGAUCUUCGGAGCUUGCGCGGUUGAAUUCGCUGAUGUCGGAUUAGCUGGUUGGCGGGGUAAAGGCCCACCAAGGCGACGAUACGUAGCUGGUCUGAGAGGAUGAUCAGCCACACUGGAACGGAGACACGGUCCAGACUACUACGGGAGGCAGCAGUGGGGAAUAUGGGACAAUGGGCGGAAGCCUGAUCCAGCCAGACCGCGUGGGUGAAGAAGGCCUUCGGGGUGUAAAGCCCUUUUGUUGGGAAAGAAAAGCAGUAGGUUGAGACCCCGCUGUUGUGACGGUACCCAAAGAAUAAGCACCGGCUAACUUCGUG